UUGCCCACUCUGGAGACGGACAAGUUUUCUCCAUUUAUCCACAGGACAGGCACUGCGUGAGCAGCAGUAGCACAAAUUCCCUCACCAACAUGCCACAACCCUGACCUGGGAGAAUAAUUCAGUCUCCCUGGACCAUUCAGUCCUUGGCCUCG
rnacentral:sRNA from 1 species